GGGAGGGUAAGCGCUGACUCAGCACAGGCAUUUGCUACUUUUUCUCUUAGAAGCAUCUUCAAGGUCCCAGAGGAGGGAUAAAUGCCCAACAGGCUCUGAUGCCCCCACAAGGCUCAGCUGGCGCGCUACUGGGGUGCAAGCAGGGUGCGGCAGCAGCUCUGGGGUUAUUGGCACUCGCUGUUCCUUUUUCCUAUGUAUAUACCUCUUUGAGAAGUCACUUUAAAGAGGCAUAGAGCAUGGGAAAAUGGGGCUGCGGGGUAUUCCACCCAUCCUCUCGUCGUGACAGCGGGCGUCUACGGUCACACACAGCUGCUCACCGCUCACGCAUUAAGUAUAUGUGAAAUUUGUGAUGUCGGAGUUCUGAUUCCUAUGUAUAGAUUAUGAGAAAUGGCUUUUCUGGUGGUGUGAUAUUGCGUGUUUUCUCAGUUAUUGCUCACAUAAUUUGUCUGGUCCACGUUUUUAAUAAAGAUCCCAUGUACGAAAA